ACCUUUUAGGCCUCAUUCGGUUGCUAGGCAACAUCAACCCAGGCUUUUAUCUGGGUGUGUGAAUUUGCUCUGAACCCUAGACAACCUGAGCCAAGACAUGGUCUAAUUGCUGCAAAUCUGUAAAGAAUAAACUAACCCUUCAGAUACAUCUUUUCUGAGUAUAAUUUGCUUUUGUUGUAACCGUGAAAGGGACUGAAGUAUAUGGUGAAGUGAAGCCAAGACCUUGUCCAAAUCUACAUCACAGAAAGCACCAUUUAGAAGAUGGGCACCCCCUUUAACUGAACAACUAUAAGAAGCCUGUUUUCAGUCUGAAGGUGUCUCCAGCUUCAAAUUCAACUGUAGUUUAAAGAUAAGGAACCUUGGGAAGGAAGCAAAGCAUUGAAGUUCCUGUUAACAAUGAGACCCUGGAGAGCAGAGUGAGGAAGCACACA
rnacentral:lncRNA from 1 species